GACGAACGCUGGCGGCGUGCCUAAUACAUGCAAGUCGAACGCACAGUUUAUACUGUAGCUUGCUGCACCAUAAACGGAGAGUUGCGAACGGCUGAGUUACGCGUAGGUAACCUGCCUGGUAGCGGGGGAUAACUAUUGGAAAUGAUAGCUAGUACCGCAUACUAUUUGUUAUUGGUUGAUAAUUGAUUGAAGGAGGCAAUUGAAUCACUACCAGUUGGACCUGCGUUGGAUUAGUGAGUAAGUGAGGUAACGGCGCAUCUAGGCGACGAGACAUAGACGACCUGAGAUGAUGGUCAGCCACACUGGGACGGUGACACGGCACAGAGGCAUACGGAAGGCAGCAGUAGGGCAUCUGCGGGAAGGGACGGGAGUCUGAGCGAGCAACGCCGCGUGCGUGAAGAACGUCGUCGGAUCGUAGAGGUCGGUUUUAAGGGAAGAACGGGUGUGAGAGUGGAAAGUUCACACUGUGACGGUAACUUAUCAGAAAGCGACGGCUAACUACGUG
rnacentral:rRNA from 1 species